GGUCCUGGUAUCCAGAGGGAAUUCCAAUAAAUAGAUGACAUAGUAAAAGUUCCACAAAACCUAAUUGUUGGACUGCUGCCUAAUUAUCUGACGCUCCUCCUGCCAAAAGACCAGCAAGCAAAACAAAGUUACUAUAUUAGCAAGAAUAAUAGAACUUGAUUAUCAUGAAGAGCUAGGAAUGCUACUACCUGAUUGGGUUAAGAAGAAUUAUGUCUAAACUUUAAGAUAGUCCUUGGGGAAUCUCCUGGUGUUACUGUCAUGUGCGUCUGUGUGAAGAGAGUCCACCAAACAGGCUUUGUGUGAGCAACAAGUCUGUUUAUUUCACCUGGGCGCAGCAUUCACCAGGGCUUAGAAGACCCUGUGGCACCUGAAAGUGAAUGUGCAAUUGGAUUGGAGUUAUGCUGCAACAAUUAGCUGCUCAAUUGUGUGUUUAUUACAUAUACCAAGAUCACUUAAAUAACACUACAGGUCUUCCUCAGUGGUGAUUUUUAUUCUGAUGGAGAAGACAUGCCUGAAGUGUAUUGAGCAGAAGAGUGACAAGAUCUGACUAACCUGCUGCAGAACUAAACACCAAAAAAGCUUGAGUUUCUACUAAAUGGCUCUUGUGUUUCGCUAGAGGUGGUUUCAGUUCAGCAACAAGGUGACCUCACAGCAGGAUAUUGAAACAGGAAGGAGGAGGAGGAAAAGGAAGAGAAGGAGGAGAAAAAGGAGGAAGAGAAGGAGGAGGAAGGAAAAGGGCUUUGUUGCUGCCCAGUCUUUUGAAAGAUAUUUGAAAAUUCAGGAUACAUGUUUACAGAAGAGACAAACUUGACUUCAUUAUCUAGAGCCAGAACACAUAGUAUCUGUAUAUCCACGGUGAUUGGGACUAAUGCCAAGAUUUGAAAUAAUACCUCAGACAGUUCAGCUUCAGAGAGAGAAUAGCUUUUGAAAAAUCUAAAAUCUACCUUAGGAAGGUACAUUUCUCUAAGCAAAGAGAAAGAUCCGCGUACGACCUCUGGUCCUCAGACCAAGCAGCCCAAGGAACAUCUCACCAAUUUUAAAUCCGAUUUCUGCAUCCUCUCAGUCAUGAUGAUAAAGGAUUUACUACUUCAGUCAUGUCACCACUCUUGAAUAUCAUUCCCAUGGCAUGGUACAGUAGGAACUGGAACACAUACUUUGAGAAAUGACUGCUGGGAAGAAUUGGAAAGGGACUGGAAGCAAUGAUGGCUAAAGAAUCUCGAGAAGGAAGACAGACUAUACAUAUUUUUUCUAGGAAAUUAAAAGGGAAGAUAAUUUCAUAAUUAUUGCCAAUGUUGUAAAUAGUAAUCUCCAUCUCUCCAUCAGAUAGAGAAGAAAAUGGGAUUAAAAUGUAGUAAGAGAAAUUUAGAUGGUUUAUAACAGUUUGAAAGGAAUCAUGAGUUAAAUUUCAUAGUGUAGAGGCAGGAGGCUAAGAGAGGAUAAAGAUACACCGGUAAUGUUUACAAAUUCUGUACAUUAUCCACUCCUUACCUCUCAAAAGCCUCUUUGCUAAAAGUAGGUGUCAUUAUGUAUGCAUAUAAGGGAAGCUAUGCCAUGAAAUGUAAUCCUUAGGAUGCUCAUAGUCUUAAGUACUUUUAAUAAUUGACUCACUUGAAGUAUUUAUGUAGACCUACUUACAAGAAAAAAUAUGAAAAUAAUGUAAAUAAAAAUGUUACACACUUUAAAUUCUUACUUUUUAUAUUGCCCUUGAUUGAAAUCAAAUAAUUAUUCAAGAAUAAGAAAGCAUUAUUAUGAGUUAAAUUUUUGAGAUGCAAAAUUAUAUGUUAUGCCCAUUUUCUUUACCUGUUUUGUGUGAAAGAUAAUAUGAUUGAAUGUAUGCUUUGUUUGUGCCCAAGUACACGUCUGAACCACAGCCUAUUCUUUAUAUCCUAUUGAGAGAAUUGUGGCUCCUUUUUUCUUUUACGUUACUUAAUAUUUGGCUGUAGCUGUUCUUUGGCAGUAGGUAGGGUAUUUGAUAACUCUGCUGUGCUGCAUAAACAUUUUUACUUCAAAGUGAUUGCUUGUCCAUGUCUCACUGGAAUUAUUUCAAGCCAGAUGUCUAAUUCUGUCCAACAUCUUUAAUGUUUUCAAAAUCAUCUUGGGUGUUGUUAAUGGAGUAUCAUUAGGUACAAUUUGAAACAUUUCAGUGGGCAGUACAUGGAUUCAGAAUAUUUGUGCAAUAUGUGCUCUUGCUUCUGAAGUCUUUGGGGGAUUUUUCUUUUAUAUACCCUUCUCCUAACACUUUAUUUUCUUUACUAGUUGACUUAGUUAUAUAGUUAUAGUAAACAUAAUUUUUCCAUUUGGCCAAUAUUUAUUAAAACUAUAGUAGGAUCCAAACAUUCCAAAAGAGCACUGGGAUAAGAAAGAGGUGGUGCCUGUACUAUACCUACAGCUAGGAGAAAACAGGACACAUAGAAAUAAACUCAAGUACAAAUGUGGGCAGUCAUAAUAGCCAAGAAAGCCCAGAUCUAGGAGUUCUUAAUAUCAUUGGGUGAAGAAAGGAACAUUUUGAUGUUCCUCAGAAGCACAAAGAAAAUAACCCCAAGAAAGAGGAAUGGCUUAAGAAAAAGUAUAUAAGGAUAUGAUUUGCUCCAAAAGCAGAAAGCACUACAUCAACUGAAAGAAGUUUUGAAGAGAGAAAUGUGAAUUAUGCUGAGAUAGCUGGCUUUAUUCUUCAGAUCAAAGGAAGUAUUAAAAAUUUAAAACAGGGUAUAGCAUGGUCAGAUUUGUAUUUAAUAAAAAUAUAUUUGAAGGUCACAUGUUUGACACACUGUAUGGAAGAUACAUUUAAGUAGUCCUAUUGGUGAAGAACUGCUUGAGUCGCUACACCUGUGGCAUCGAACUAGAUUAGAAAUGAAGAGAAAUUAUUCAAGGCUAGAAUAUUCAGAAACUAUCAGUGCACCUAACACAUACAAUAAAGGCUCAAUAAAUGCCUAAUGAUGAAAAACAAAAAUUAAUGCACAAAUUGGGUUUCAAAUGUUACAUUGCUAGAAUGUUUAAAAUUAUGGAGUCAUUUUAUGUUUGUGUGUAUGUGUGUAUGUGUGUGUGUGUGUAUAUAUAUAUACAUAUAUAUCUUUUUAUCCUUAUUGAAGGCAGAGAUUUCAAACUACGUAUGAAGUAUUCAUAUCUGUAGAUUUAUAGCAGAUUGGUGUGUUUUCUGUUUUAGAUUGCCUGUUUUGUAGUAGAGAGAUGCUUCUCAGGACGUCGUGGGAUCACACUGUUCAGACUGAUUUCCAACAGGCACAGCGUGCUCCAUGGAGCCAUAAAAUGGCAGAAUAUUUUGUCCAGGAUUCCUCUGCAGUGAGAUGAUUCCCUCCACCUGAUCUGUAUGCCACCUGACCCUCACCUUGUAUCAUUCUGUGAGAAAAAAGGAACACCAAAGAUGAUUUGUUGGUUUUCCAGUGCAAGAGUGAUCCCUCCUUCAUUUUUACCAAAAAGAGAUUUCCUCCAUUUCUGCACUUUUUGCCCUCUGGAAUUUCAUUUGCAAGGGCAGAUAAGGGGAAAAGAAUGUAAUAAGAGAUGAGGAAAAAAAUAAGCCCUUGCUGAAUGAUUGAUAUGAAUGAAGGAACUGAUGGAAUAAAUAACAAAAAUAAGAAGAUCCAGGACUACUCUCAGUCUCUGAAGCAGGUGGGAGCCCUGGCGGUAGCUAUGGAUCCAGUUCAAAGGAAUAUGAAAGGCACUGCUUUCCCAUCAAAAAGAAAUAUUCAUCCACAUAUUGAAAUUUCUUCCAUCACUUUACAUCAAGAAGAUUGAAAGCCCAAGUAAAUGACAUGACAAUGAAAAUGGAAAUCUGUAGAGACGGGGUUUCACUGUGUUACCCAGGAUGGUCUUGAUCUCCUGACCUCGCGAUCCGCCUGCCUCAGCCUCCCAAAGUGCUGGGAUUACAGGCAUGAGCCAUGGCACCCGGCAGAGGAAGAAGAAAGGCAAUACUUGCAACCAAUGAUAAAGAGGUAUUCUGACUUUCAUCUGCCUUUGUGUUAAGCGUGAGAGAGCCAGACAGAAUUGCAGCAGGAACCAGAAGGAGCAAAGAAAAAGAUUACUGUUUCUUUUAUAAAAUGGUUUUUAUCCUACUGGUGUCUCUUUAAAAAUAAAAAUCAACAAAUAAAUGUCCAUUUAAAUUGA